GUGGAGGGAAGCAGUCAGGUCGUGCCAGGGAAGACUCUUGCUCCCCAUAUGACCCCAAGCUGACUGCCCCAGACCUUGCCCGCCUUGAAUCUCCGAUUACCCCGAUUAAUCUGGGGAGGGGCAGAGCCGGGAAAAGAAUUAUGGGAACCCCUAUGCUUGGGGGAGAUAUACCGGCAUCCCCACCCCUGGAUGGAGGCCCUCAGGAUCUGACGCCCCCUCGUCCCGACACCAGUUGGCCCCAUACCUUGACUCACUCCGCCCCAUUUUCUCCGGCUGCCUGGCCAGUUUCUACCUCUUGUCACCGGAGCUGAUCACUGUCAGUUUUGUACCGAUUUAGAAAUAACAAAAGUAAUGAAGAUACUAGGAGUGACCUGCGGGAUUACUGGGGGAUUUGGAGGGCGGGAGAAAUGGUGCGAGUCCCCGGCCGCCUAGCCAAGUUCUCCCUGAGGCUGAGCCCUCAGCCCUUCUCUGGUGGGAGGAUAGCGAGGUCCCUUGUUAGAAGAGAGACGGAGAGAAGAGCCUAGCCUCGAUGUAGCCAAGCUGUGGCCUAUAGACCAGGAAACCAGGUAGCUCGGGGUGGUGAUGGAGAGGAGUCUGGGGGAGGCGUCAUGGGUGGCAAACUUCUCAUCCAGAUCCAGCGUGAGAGGGAAGCUUCGAUGUUCUCUUCUGCUUCCCCAGGUGAUUCCCACUCCGCUCACUGGGGGUGACGCAGCCCGACAGUGACUGCCCUGACCUUGGGCAGUCCAGUAUUUUGGGGUUCUGGUCCCUGCUGUGCUGCAUGACUUUGGGCAAGUGACCUGCCCUCUCUGAGCCUCCCCCUGAAGCAGAGGAGGUGGCUCCCCUCCCCCCACACCUUGGAGUGGCUGGGAGGGUAAGGAAGAGGGGCUGCCCCCCUUUAUCCCCUGCAUCCCUGCCCCCUGACUCACCAGGGGGAUGGGGUGAGUGGUGACAGCAUCUCACCUGCCCCAUCACUGUCACCCCCCAGCUCUGAGGCACCUGAGGUGAGAGUGAGGGACCCAGGCCUCUGGCUGCCCCCUGUGGGAGCCGUUGGAAUGUAUUGCCUGGCUGGCCCCCUUCACCCACCCUCUCACCCCCGCUUCACCCCAGAUCUUUGAUUUUGAUUCCUUCCGCCCCCGUUCUGAGUGUCUGGCCUUCACCCUGCCCUCCCUUCCCCAGGGUUUCCCACCACAGGGUCUGGAAGUGUGUGUGACGCCCACUGCGCUGUGAUCAGAAGUCAGAUUAAAAAUCAGGGAGUGUUUUCCCUCGUUUCUGUACCAAGGUGUUGGCUCAGUUCCUGCCGUGGGAAGGAAGGGACUCCCCGCAGGGUUUCUGCCUGCUGAGCUCUGGAGGGACAGACAGUCUGGGCGAUGAGGUGGCCUGAGUCCUAAAGCCCAGGCCCACCAGGAGAAUGAAGGGAAAGGGAGAGAGCUGGGGACUCAUCUCCUCUCCACCUACCCCGCCAGGUGAUCAAAACCAUUCAGAAGAGAAGCAUAACAUCUCCCUCUGCCACUUUCUUGGGAAGACUUUCAGAAGUGGACUCAAUCCCAGCUUCUGCCUUGUGUCUUCCUCGCACUCAUGGCCGAGGCUCUGCAGCCCCCCCCAGCCCACACCCAUCAUAACUCCAGGCGUGUCGGUGUGUUAAGGAAUGCUCUCAGCCAUCCCUCUUGACUCAGUGAUCUCAGUUCCCAGCCCCCAGAGCAAAGUUUUGAAGUCCUGCAGGAGCCCGUGUGGGGCGACCUUGUCCCUGUCCGUGAUGCUGAGGCAGCAGCCUCUUCCAGGAGAGAAGGGCUGUCUGGCAAGGUCGGCUGGGGCUACAGAGGGGAAACCUCUCUCACCCCAGCUCCCUCCCCCUCCUCCCCUCCAGCGGGAAAAUGCUGCCACACCUUCCUGCACCGUGGUAGAGUGAAGGACUCAAGAGCUGGGGGCUCAGGGACAGACCCACUCAUGUUUAAUAACUGAUAAGAGCUGUGGAAAUGGGCAUGGCCGGAGGACAGAGCACAGGAAUUUGGGGAGCUGUUCUGGGACACAGUAGCCCUACCACCCUGGAAUUGGACUGGGACUCACGGGUUGCCCUCCUGCUCAACCGACCAGAUGGCGUCUCUGUUUGUCUUCUGAACUCUCCUGGCCAAGGCCCUGUAUUGAGGCUCGGGGAGGAGAAGCGCCUUCUCACACCCAAGACUCCUCCUCAGGCCUGGGCAAAGUCCCACGGAAGGAAACCUGAUUCUGCCGACCCCAGAGAGGGCCCUCCACCCCCGACCAGGGACUUACCCGGAUGAAGAUGAGGAUGUUGGAGUCUCCCACGCGGUACUUCCCCUCGGACACCUUGACCAUGGAGAACUGAACCGGGCACGUGCAGCGGCUCACCAGGCUCUGAACCUGCGGGCAGUGGGCAAUGGGUUCAGCCCUCCCCUCUGCCCAGGUAGCCAAGCUCCCCCUGCACGCUGGGUCAAGCCCAACGGGCGGCCUGCCUGCCCCCCAGACCCAAGGCUUCUGCCAAGUCAGGGCUGGGGGCUGAGAAGCAAGUGCAGAAGGCUUCUAAUGGCUCAACGAGAACAAGACCUUGAGUGGCACCUAUGGCCCAGCACCCUCGUGAGUCAGCUAACAGAGGCCGUGGAGUGUGAUGGUUAAGGUGGACCUUGGAACCUGACCGGUUUGGGUGGGAAUCCUGCCUCCACCGCACUAUAGGCCUUGGGCAAGGUAAGAAACCUCCCUGAGCUCGAUUCCUUGGUGGUAGAAGUGAUUCCUAGUCACAGUCAGAGCUAACUCCCAGGACAGGACCCUCUGUGCCAGACACUGGCUGAGCGCUUCACGUGCGCUGGCUCAUCUAACAGCCACCGCCGUCGUGGAAGGUAGGCACGGUUACAUCCCCACAGUACAGAUAAGGGAGCUGAGGCACAGAGAGGGCAAAUAAUUUGCCCAGUCACACGGCUGCAAAGCAGUGGAACUAAGACUUAAACCAA